CCUACGGGCGGCUGCAGUGAGGAAUAUUGGUCAAUGGCCGAGAGGCUGAACCAGCCAAGUCGCGUGAGGGAAGACGGCCCUACGGGUUGUAAACCUCUUUUGUCGGGGAGCAAAGCGAGUCACGUGUGACUCAUUGAGAGUACCCGAAGAAAAAGCAUCGGCUAACUCCGUGCCAGCAGCCGCGGUAAUACGGAGGAUGCGAGCGUUAUCCGGAUUUACUGGGUGUAAAGGGCGUGCAGCCGGGCCGACAAGUCAGAUGUGAAAUCCGCGGGCUUAACCCGCGAACUGCAUUUGAAACUAUUGGUCUUGAGUACCGGAGAGGUCAUCGGAAUUCCUUGUGUAGCGGUGAAAUGCGUAGAUAUAAGGAAGAACACCAGUGGCGAAGGCGGAUGACUGGACGGCAACUGACGGUGAGGCGCGAAAGCGUGGGGAGCAAACAGGAUUAGAUACCCUUGUAGUC
rnacentral:rRNA from 1 species